UACGUAGGGUGCAAGCGUUGUCCGGAAUUAUUGGGCGUAAAGAGCUCGUAGGCGGUCUGUCGCGUCUGCUGUGAAAAUCCAGGGCUCAACCCUGGACCUGCAGUGGGUACGGGCAGACUAGAGUGCGGUAGGGGAGAUCGGAAUUCCUGGUGUAGCGGUGAAAUGCGCAGAUAUCAGGAGGAACACCGGUGGCGAAGGCGGAUCUCUGGGCCGUAACUGACGCUGAGGAGCGAAGGCGUGGGGAGCGAACAGG
rnacentral:rRNA from 1 species